UACGUAGGUGGCAAGCGUUAUCCGGAAUUAUUGGGCGUAAAGAGCGCGCAGGUGGUUAAUUAUGUCUGAUGUGAAAGCCCACGGCUUAACCGUGGAGGGUCAUUGGAAACUGGUUGACUUGAGUGCAGAAGAGGGAAGUGGAAUUCCAUGUGUAGCGGUGAAAUGCGUAGAGAUAUGGAGGAACACCAGUGGCGAAGGCGGCUUCCUGGUCUGCAACUGACACUGAGGCGCGAAAGCGUGGGGAGCAAACAGG
rnacentral:rRNA from 1 species